GGUUGCAAAAAAAGUGGUUUAAAAUGCAAUAAAUUUUGUAAAAGUUGCCAAGGCCAAAGCUGUGAUAACGCUUCUGCAAGAUCGUUUAAUCUUGAGGAUGAUGAAAAUGAAGAUAAAGAAGAUGAAGAAAGAGAUGAUAGUGAUGAUGAAAAUGAUGAUGAUGGAAAUGUUUAUGAGGAUGAAAAUGAUGGUGAAGAAGAAACUACUGUCGAAGACGGAGAACAAGAAAAUGAAGCUAUAUGUACAGGACGUAAAACUGUUAAAAACACUCGUUCAAAAGUAUCCACACAAAAGAUUUUUUGUGGUUGUAGAACCAAUUGUGCAUCAGCAAGAUGUAGUUGUAGAAAAAGUUCUCUCAAAUGUAAUGAAUUAUGCAAGUUUUGUCAUGGUGAUACAUGCAAUAACAGUAUAAAUGCAGGCGUUGAUACCAAUGAAGAUAGUGAAUAUGAGACACAUACAAAAGCUAACGAUAAAGACGAAGAAACACCUACUGAAGAAGAAAACGAAGGAAGCUCAACUGUUAGAGACAGCAGUCCACUUGAUGAAAUUUAUAUUAACUUUGAAAAAUUUUAAUAUAAUUUUUGGAAUUGCAAAAUCUAUAUUUUUUUAUUUAUUAUAUAAUUAGAGAAUCAAUUACUCUUAGGAAGUUUCUUCAAAUUUUUUUAAUUGUAAUACAAUUUUGUAAUCUAUUAAAAAAAAAAAAU